CCCUUAGAUGUUCUGGGCUGCACGCGCGCUACACUGAUGCGUUCAACGAGUUUAUCACCUUGCCCGAUAGGGUUGGGUAAUCUUUUGAAAACGCAUCGUGAUGGGGAUAGAUUAUUGUAAUUAUUAAUCUUCAACGAGGAAUUCCUAGUAAGUGCGAAUCAUCAGUUCGCGCUGAUUACGUCCCUGCCCUUUGUACACACCGCCCGUCGCUCCUACCGAUUGAGUGGUCCGGUGAGGCUUUGGGAUCUGAGCGGAAAGAGCGUUUCGCUGUUUCUGCUCGGAAAACUCAGUCGAACCUUAUCAUUUAGAGGAAGGAGAAGUCGUAACA
rnacentral:rRNA from 1 species